GUUAUAGGGUCAAGCGAACAAGUGCAUGUGGUGGAUGCCUUGGCGAUCACAGGCGAUGAAGGACGCGGUAGCCUGCGAAAAGCUUCGGGGAGCUGGCAAACAAGCUUUGAUCCGGAGAUGUCCGAAUGGGGAAACCCGGCCCGAAUGGGUCAUCCCUGACUGAAUACAUAGGUCAGGGAAGCGAACGCGGCGAACUGAAACAUCUAAGUAGCUGCAGGAACAGAAAUCAACCGAGAUUCCCAAAGUAGUGGCGAACGAAAUGGGAAGAGCCUUGUACUCUUUAGCAGCAUUGUUAGCAGAACGGGAUGGAAAGCCCGGCCAUAGCAGGUGAUAGCCCUGUAUGCGAAAACAGCGUUGUGGAACUAGGUGUACGACAAGUAGGGCGGGACACGUGAAAUCCUGUCUGAAGAUGGGGGGACCAUCCUCCAAGGCUAAAUACUCGUGAUCGACCGAUAGUGAACCAGUACCGUGAGGGAAAGGCGAAAAGAACCCCGGGAGGGGAGUGAAAUAGAUCCUGAAACCGCAUGCAUACAAACAGUCGGAGCCUGGAAACGGGUGACGGCGUACCUUUUGUAUAAUGGGUCAGCGACUUACAUUCAGUGGCAAGCUUAACCGAUUAGGGAAGGCGUAGCGAAAGCGAGUCCGAAUAGGGCGUUCAGUCGCUGGGUGUAGACCCGAAACCAGACGAUCUAUCCAUGGCCAGGUUGAAGGUGCGGUAACACGUACUGGAGGACCGAACCCACUAACGUUGAAAAGUUAGGGGAUGAGCUGUGGAUAGGGGUGAAAGGCUAAACAAGUCUGGAAAUAGCUGGUUCUCUCCGAAAACUAUUUAGGUAGUGCCUCGUGUCUCACCUUCGGGGGUAGAGCACUGUCAUGGUUGGGGGGUCUAUUGCUGAUUACCCCGCCAUAGCAAACUCCGAAUACCGAAGAGUGCAAUCACGGGAGACAGACAUCGGGUGCUAACGUCCGGUGUCAAGAGGGAAACAACCCAGACCGCCAGCUAAGGUCCCUAAGAUUGGCUAAGUGGGAAACGAAGUGGGAAGGCUAAAACAGUCAGGAGGUUGGCUUAGAAGCAGCCAUCCUUUAAAGAAAGCGUAAUAGCUCACUGAUCGAGUCGUCCUGCGCGGAAGAUGUAACGGGGCUAAGCCAGUCACCGAAGCUGCGGAUGCGUGCAUUCCUUUAAGUGCACCUUGCUUGUCGAUGCGCAGCAUCGACAAAGCGCCCAACAGUGAUCGUUGGGAUGCAAGUGGAGUGGAUUUAAAGGAGUGCACNGGGCUAAGCCAGUCACCGAAGCUGCGGAUGCACGUAAGUGCAUGGUAGGAGAGCGUUCUGUAAGCCUGUGAAGGUGUCUUGUAAAGGAUGCUGGAGGUAUCAGAAGUGCGAAUGCUGACAUGAGUAGCGAUAAAGGGGGUGAAAAGCCCCCUCGCCGUAAGCCCAAGGUUUCCUACGCAACGUUCAUCGGCGUAGGGUGAGUCGGCCCCUAAGGCGAGGCAGAGAUGCGUAGCUGAUGGGAAGCAGGUUAAUAUUCCUGCACCGUCGUAUGAUGCGAUGGGGGGACGGAUCGCGGAAGGUUGUCCGGGUGUUGGAAGUCCCGGUCCCUGCAUUGGAGAAGGCGCUUAGGCAAAUCCGGGCGCGGAAUUCAAGGAUGNGUUGUCCGGGUGUUGGAAGUCCCGGUCCCUGUAUUGGAGAAGGCGCUUAGGCAAAUCCGGGCGCGGAAUUCAAGGAUAUGGGGCGAGCGGCCUAGUGCUGCGAAGCAAUUGGAAGUGGUUCCAAGAAAAGCCUCUAAGCUUCAGUCAUACGAGACCGUACCGCAAACCGACACAGGUGGGCGAGAUGAGUAUUCUAAGGCGCUUGAGAGAACUCGGGAGAAGGAACUCGGCAAAUUGGUACCGUAACUUCGGGAUAAGGUACGCCCUUGUAGCUUGACUGGCCUGCGCCAGGAGGGUGAAGGGGUUGCAAUAAAAUGGUGGCUGCGACUGUUUAAUAAAAACACAGCACUCUGCAAACACGAAAGUGGACGUAUAGGGUGUGACGCCUGCCCGGUGCCGGAAGAUUAAAUGAUGGGGUGCAAGCUCUUGAUUGAAGUCCCGGUAAACGGCGGCCGUAACUAUAACGGUCCUAAGGUAGCGAAAUUCCUUGUCGGGUAAGUUCCGACCUGCACGAAUGGCGUAACGAUGGCCACACUGUCUCCUCCCGAGACUCAGCGAAGUUGAAGUGUUUGUGAUGAUGCAAUCUCCCCGCGGCUAGACGGAAAGACCCCAUGAACCUUUACUGUAGCUUUGCAUUGGACUUUGAACCGAUCUGUGUAGGAUAGGUGGGAGGCUUUGAAGCGUGGACGCUAGUCUGCGUGGAGCCGUCCUUGAAAUACCACCCUGGUUUGUUUGAGGUUCUAACCUUGGCCCGUGAAUCCGGGUCGGGGACAGUGCAUGGUAGGCAGUUUGACUGGGGCGGUCUCCUCCCAAAGUGUAACGGAGGAGUUCGAAGGUACGCUUGGUACGGUCGGACAUCGUACCUAAAGUGCAAUGGCAAAAGCGUGCUUAACUGCGAGACCGACAAGUCGAGCAGGUGCGAAAGCAGGACAUAGUGAUCCGGUGGUUCUGAAUGGAAGGGCCAUCGCUCAACGGAUAAAAGGUACUCUGGGGAUAACAGGCUGAUACCGCCCAAGAGUUCAUAUCGACGGCGGUGUUUGGCACCUCGAUGUCGGCUCAUCUCAUCCUGGGGCUGUAGCCGGUCCCAAGGGUAUGGCUGUUCGCCAUUUAAAGAGGUACGUGAGCUGGGUUUAAAACGUCGUGAGACAGUUUGGUCCCUAUCUGCCGUGGGCGUUGGAAUCUUGACGGGGGCUGCUCCUAGUACGAGAGGACCGGAGUGGACGUACCGCUGGUGUACCUGUUGUCUCGCCAGAGGCAUCGCAGGGUAGCUAUGUACGGAAGAGAUAACCGCUGAAAGCAUCUAAGCGGGAAACUCGCCUGAAGAUGAGGAUUCCCUGGAGCCUUGAGCUCCUUGAAGGGUCGUUCGAGACCAGGACGUUGAUAGGCUGGGUGUGGAAGCGCAGUAAUGCGUUAAGCUAACCAGUACUAAUUGCCCGUAAGGCUUGAUCCUAUAACCAGUGUGUUUC
rnacentral:rRNA from 1 species